AAUGAACGUUGGCGGCGUGGAUUAGGCAUGCAAGUCGUACGGGUCGGUGUAGCAAUACAACGGCAAGUGGCGAAAGGGAGAGUAACGCGUAGAUACCUACCUUCUGGUCGGGGAUACCGCGGCAUAACCGCAAGUAAUACCCGAUAAUAUCUCCGGAUCAAAGGUGUGAUUCCGCCGGAGGAGGGGUCUGCGUUUCAUCAGCUUGUUGGUGAGGUAACGACUCACCAAGGCUAAGACGAAUACGGGGUGUGAGAGCAUGCCCCCGCUCACUGGGACUGAGACACUGCCCAGACACCUACGGGUGGCUGCAGUCGAGAAUCUUCGGCAGGGGGCGCAAGCCUGACCGAGCGACGCCGCGUGCGGGAUGAAGGCCUUCGGGUUGUAAACCGCUGUCGAGGGGGAUAAAGUGCAGGUGGGUUCUCCCAUUUGUUUGAUAGAUCCCUGGAGGAAGCAUGGGCUAAGUUCGUGCCAGCAGCCGCGGUAAUAC
rnacentral:rRNA from 1 species